rnacentral:rRNA from 1 species
GUGGGGAAUCUUAGACAAUGGGGGAAACCCUGAUCUAGCCAUGCCGCGUGAGCGAUGAAGGCCUUAGGGUUGUAAAGCUCUUUCAGCUGGGAAGAUAAUGACGGUACCAGCAGAAGAAGCCCCGGCUAACUCCGUGCCAGCAGACGCGGUAAUACGGAGGGGGCUAGCGUUGUGCGGAAUUACUGGGCGUAAAGCGCGCGUAGGCGGACGAGAAAGUUGGAGGUGAAAUCCCAGGGCUCAACCUUGGAACUGCCUUCAAAACUCCUGGUCUGGAGUUCGAGAGAGGUGAGUGGAAUUCCGAGUGUAGUGGUGAAAUUCGUAGAUAUUAGGAGGAAGACCAGUGGCGAAGGCGGCUCACUGGCUCGAUACUGACGCUGAGGUGCGAAAGCGUGGGGAGCAAACAGGAUUAGAAACCCGUGUAGUCC